AAAGCAGAGGAAAGUCGAAGUCCUAGCUCAGCUGGGAAAUGGGGCUCAGCAGACCUUUGGUGUAGAUGUCCUAACUGGGUGAAUAUAAAGGACUGCAAGAUAUCCUGAAGCCUUAGCAAAGCAAUGAUUACCUGACAUCAAACUCAUCUAGGAGCAUGCUGUGUGACUACAGAGUAGGCGGUCUUACUGUUAAAGAGCCCUAUCGAUUGACAAGUGUUUGGAGAAGAGACAAUGAAGGGGAAGGGUGUUCUAUCAAUAACUUAGAGCCUAAAAUUCAACAGAUGACUUAAACAUGGAUAUUUUCCUGUUCCCACCUCUUCCAAAACUGUGACAAACCCCCAAAAAACCCUGCUCUCUUAAGAGCCACAGAAGACAGGGUAACAGCUCUGUUCUGCCUUGCUUAUUAGCAUCAAAGUUUAAGACUAGAGGAUGCAGCAACCUGUGGUUACAGGUAAGGUGAGGAUGGACUCCCCAUCACAACAUCCACCAGCUCUAUCCAGGCAGAGAAUGAUGGGAUUUGAAGAAGAAACAAAAUAAUCACAGACUCCUGAUACAGGCAACUGAUUUAAAGAUGAUGGCCCAGAGAGUCCAAUUUAUCAAUGCAUACAGAAGAAAAACAAAAAAGUUACCACAGUGUUACCAAAAGGACUACUAAGGAGAUUUAAGGGGUGGGAAGUAAAAAGCAUAGUUUUUUUUUUUUUUUUUUUUUGAAUAGCUAAGGUACUUCUCUAUGCAAUCAGAUUCAAUUUCAUCAUUGUGACAGAGAAAAGGUAUGAAACAUUAAUGGUCUGUACUGGACUAAAUUGUUAGAUGUACGCAGGCAUACUGUAUUCUAAAGAAAAAUGUAUAUGAACAUAAAAACUUUCCCACUACAUUUAACUGGUAUCUCAAGUAGAUGCUUACAGGUAUGGUUCUCAUAUAUUUAUAGAUUUAUCUCUUUUCACCCGUUUGCGCUAUCUAGUAAUUUUCUUCAGACUCAGCAAUUCUCAAAAAAAACAGAAGAAUGAACUCUCCCUCUCCUGCACUGACACAGUGAAUUCUCACAGUCAUACCUUUUGACUGUCCAACAGUUUCUGGAGCUGCUUUGGUUUCUCCAGAGACAAUGCUCUAAACUGAAAAACUCACUCCAUGAGAGCAUUUGGAGACACCAUCACUUCAAGCGAAUUUCUAAUUUUAUUUUUUUAAAGUUUGUGGACAACACAAAGAAAACAGAAUAUAGGCUUCACUUCUGUAGAAAGAAGAUACUGAAAAACAAAACCAAAAGCCUUUAGAAGAAACAAUUUUGAUGAAUAAGUUUCACCUAGAACUAAAUUUCCUGUAAGCACAAUGAUAUGAUGUCAGAUUUUCAUGUCAAAUAGGUAGAACAUCUGUGUAAUUUCAAUGAACUUGAAUAAAAACAAGAAACAAUAUGUAUUCAAAAUAACUUUGCUUGCAGGUUAGACAUGAAAUUGUUGACAUAUUCAGUAGCUGUUUGUCUGAAGAUCUGACCCACAAGUUGUAUGUAUUUCAAGCAGAAAGAAUAAGAGAGAGUAUGAAUUAAAAGAUGAAUUUUGUAUGAAAAAGUGUCUAACGAAAAUGUCUGUCGGAAAGACUCUACUCAAAUGUAAUUUUUCCAUACUGGAAUAUACGGUUUUUCAUUACAAAUAUUUUAUUUUAUGAAUGGACUUUGUAAAGAAAUUCAAAAUAUUUAGAGACUGAAGUUGUUUUAAUGUUCUUACAUUCAU